CCUACGGGUGGCAGCAGUUAGGAAUAUUGGUCAAUGGACGAGAGUCUGAACCAGCCAAGUAGCGUGAAGGAUGACUGCCCUAUGGGUUGUACACUUCUUUUAUAUGGGAAUAAAAUGUUCCACGUGUGGGCUUUUGUAUGUACCAUAUGAAUAAGGAUCGGCUAACUCCGUGCCAGCAGCCGCGGUAAUACGGAGGAUCCUAGCGUUGUCCGGAUUUAUUGGGUUUAAAGGGAGCGUAGGUGGAUUGUUAAGUCAGUUGUUAAAGUUUGCGGCUCAACCGUAAAAUUGCAGUUGAAACUGGCAGUCUUGAGUACAGUAGAGGUGGGCGGAAUUCGUGGUGUAGCGGUGAAAUGCUUAGAUAUCACGAAGAACUCCGAUUGCGAAGGCAACUCACUGGACUGCAACUGACACUGAGGCUCGAAAGUGUGGGUAUCAAACAGGAUUAGAUACCCUUGUAGUC
rnacentral:rRNA from 1 species